AGGAGCAGCCCGUUGCCACUCCACUUUUCUGGCGCGGGGGCAAAAAAAAGGAGGUUUAAUUUAAACCCGUUGCGGUUUACGGUGCGGCAUUGUGGAGACAUGCCGUAAGGCGGCCAUGAAGUAAUCGCGUGGCGGCGAGGGAAGCGGCAGGCGAGCCCUGCGUUUUUCAAAACCGGUCAAAAUGGCA
rnacentral:ncRNA from 1 species